GACGAACGCUGGCGGCGUGCCUAACACAUGCAAGUCGAGCGAGUGAAUCUCCUUCGGGAGUGAAACUAGCGGCGGACGGGUGAGUAACACGUGGGCAACCUGCCUCAUAGAGGGGAAUAGCCUUUCGAAAGGAAGAUUAAUACCGCAUAAGAUUGUAGCUUCGCAUGAAGUAGCAAUUAAAGGAGCAAUCCGCUAUGAGAUGGGCCCCGCGGCGCAUUAGCUAGUUGGUGAGGUAACGGCUCACCAAGGCGACGAUGCGUAGCCGACCUGAGAGGGUGAUCGGCCACAUUGGGACUGAGACACGGCCCAGACUCCUACGGGAGGCAGCAGUGGGGGAUAUUGCACAAUGGGGGAAACCCUGAUGCAGCAACGCCGCGUGAGUGAUGAC
rnacentral:rRNA from 1 species